rnacentral:rRNA from 1 species
GGACAUAUCAUAACGAAGAGGUAUCGUAAUUGAAGAGGUUUGGAAAGACCCACCACAGAAGGUAAUAGUCCUGUAUGUUAAACGAGAAGACUUUAGAUCUGAUCCAGAGUACCACGGGACACGUGAAACCCUGUGGGAAGCAGGAGGGACCACCCUCCAAGGCUAAAUACUACCUAGUGACCGAUAGCGUAUAGUACCGUGAGGGAAAGGUGAAAAGAACCCCGGGAGGGGAGUGAAAUAGAACCUGAAACCCUGCACUUACAAGCUGUGGAAGCACAUUUCUUGUGUGACCGCGUACUUUUUGUAGAACGGGCCAACGAGUUACGUUAAGUAGCAAGGUUAAGCACUUAAGGUGUGGAGCCGUAGCGAAAGCGAGUUUUAACUGAGCGUUCAGUUACUUGACGUAGACCCGAAACCGGGCGACCUACCCAUGAGCAGGAUGAAGCGAAAGUAAAAUUUCGUGGAGGUCCGAACCCACGAGCGUUGAAAAGCUCGGGGAUGACUUGUGGGUAGCGGUGAAAUUCCAAUCGAGCCCGGAGAUAGCUGGUUCUCCCCGAAAUAGCUUUAGGGCUAGCCUCAAGGUGAGAGAUACGGAGGUAGAGCACUGAAUGUCCUAGGGGGUAUUGCACCUACCGAAGACUAUCAAACUCCGAAUGCCGUCAUCUUAUACUUGGGAGUCAGACUGUGGGUGAUAAGAUUCAUAGUCGAAAGGGCAACAGCCCAGAUCGUCAGCUAAGGUCCCUAAAUGUAAGUUAAGUGGUAAAGGAUGUGGGAUUGCACAGACAACCAGGAUGUUGGCUUAGAAGCAGCCACUCAUUCAAAGAGUGCGUAAUAGCUCACUGGUCGAGUGAUCCUGCGCCGAAGAUUUCCGGGGCUAAAACUUACUACCGAAGCUACGGCAUCAGUAAUGAUGGGUAGGGGAGCUUCCCAUACGGGUUGAAGCAUGACCGUAAGGACAUGUGGACAGUAUGGGAGUGAGAAUGUUGGCAUGAGUAGCGAGAUGUGGGUGAGAAUCCCACAGGCCGUAAACCCAAGGUUUCCAGGGGAAGGUUCGUCCGCCCUGGGUUAGUCGGGACCUAAGCUGAGGCCGAAAGGCGUAGGUGAUGGACAACAGGUUGAUAUUCCUGUACUACCGAUAACCGUUUGAGAGAAGGGAUGACACAGUAGGAUAAGCUAAGCACACUGUUGGUUAUGUGUGCCCAAGCAUUGAGGCAGUCAAAGUAGGUAAAUCCGCUUUGAUAAUGCUGGGAUGUGAUGGGGAGCGAAAUUUAGUAGCGAAGUAGCUGAUUUCACACUGUCAAGAAAAGUCUCUAUCGAGGUUAAAGGUACCCGUACCGCAAACCGACACAGGUGGGUGAGGAGAGUAUCCUAAGGCCAGCGAGAGAACUGUUGUUAAGGAACUCGGCAAAAUGACCCCGUAACUUAGGGAUAAGGGGUGCCACCAUCAGGUGGCCGCAGAGAAUAGGCCCAAGCGACUGUUUACCAAAAACAUAGGUUUCUGCUAAGUCGCAAGACGAUGUAUAGGAGCUGACGCCUGCCCGGUGCUGGAAGGUUAAGGGGAUCUGUUAGAGCAAUCGAAGCAGUGAACUUAAGCCCCAGUAAACGGCGGCCGUAACUAUAACGGUCCUAAGGUAGCGAAAUUCCUUGUCGGGUAAGUUCCGACCCGCACGAAAGGCGUAACGAUUUGGGCACUGUCUCAACAACAGACUCGGUGAAAUUGUAAUUCCGGUGAAGAUGCCGGAUACCUGCGACAGGACGGAAAGACCCCAUGGAGCUUUACUGUAGCUUGACAUUGGGUCUUGGUACUACAUGUACAGGAUAGGUGGGAGGCUUUGAAACCAGGACGCCAGUUUUGGCGGAGCCAUCCUUGGGAUACCACCCUUGUAGUACUGGGACUCUAACCAUAGGCCAUGAAUCUGGUCUUGGGACACUGUCAGGUGGGCAGUUUGACUGGGGCGGUCGCCUCCCAAAAGGUAACGGAGGCGCUCAAAGGUUCUCUCAGUACGGUCGGAAAUCGUACGUAGAGUGUAAAGGCAAAAGAGAGCUUGAUUGCAAGACAUACAGGUCGAGCAAGGAUGAAAAUCGGACUUAGUGAUCCGGUGGUUCUGCGUGGAAGGGCCAUCGCUCAACGGAUAAAAGCUACCCUGGGGAUAACAGGCUUAUCUCCCCCAAGAGUCCACAUCGACGGGGAGGUUUGGCACCUCGAUGUCGGCUCAUCACAUCCUGGGGCUGUAGUAGGUCCCAAGGGUUGGGCUGUUCGCCCAUUAAAGUGGUACGCGAGCUGGGUUCAGAACGUCGUGAGACAGUUCGGUCCCUAUCCGUCGCAGGCGUAGGAAAUUUGAGAAGACCUGUCCUUAGUACGAGAGGACCGGGAUGGACGUACCUCUGGUGUACCAGUUGUCCUGCCAAGGGCAUGGCUGGGUAGCUAUGUACGGAAUGGAUAAGCGCUGAAAGCAUCUAAGCGCGAAGCCAACUUCAAGAUAAGAUUUCCCACCGCAAGGGUAAGACCCCAGAAAGACUAUCUGGUUGAUAGGUCGAAGGUGUAAGUGCAGCAAUGUAUUUAGCU